AUGGUGGCCGCCGCGGUGACCGGCGCGUUGCUGCUUGCGUGGUGGUCCGUGGCGUUCCACCCGUCCAACAGCCGGCUGUGGAUGGUGCCCGUUGGCCUCGUGCUGGCAUGCACCCCGGCCGUCGUCUGCCUCGCGCUCACCCUUUUGGCCGAGCCGCGCGUGCAAAACGCCGGUGCGAAGACAGCGCUGUUGUCAGCCGUGGUCGUGGAGAUGUAG
rnacentral:rRNA from 1 species